rnacentral:rRNA from 1 species
AUUGAACGCUGGCGGCAGGCCUAACACAUGCAAGUCGAACGAGCGGCGGAGGUGUGUGUAAUGUCUGGGACUUGCCCAGGCGGGGGGGAUAACAGGUGGAAACUACUGCUAAUACCGCAUACUCGUGGGUCGCCCAGGUGGGAUUAGAUAGUUGGUGGGGUAAGGGCUCACCAAGGCGACGACCCCUAGGUGGUCUGAGAGGAUGAUCAGCCCCACUGGAACUGAGACACGGUCCAGACUCCUACGGGAGGCAGCAGUGGGGAAUAUUGCACAAUGGGCGAAAGCCUGAUGCAGCCAUGCCGCGUGUGUGAAGAAGGCCUUCGGGUUGUAAAGCACUUUCAGCGAGGAGGCGUUACUCGCAGAAGAAGCACCGGCUAACUCCGUGCCAGCCGCCGCGGUAAUUC